UGCGGCUGGAUCACCUCCUUUCUAGGGAAGAUGUGAGUAUCAUUGAAUUUA
rnacentral:misc_RNA from 1 species